UUGACAUCCAGAGAAUUUAGCAGAGAUGCUUUAGUGCCUUCGGGAACUCUGAGACAGGUGCUGCAUGGCUGUCGUCAGCUCGUGUUGUGAAAUGUUGGGUUAAGUCCGCAACGAGCGCAACCCUUAUCCUUUGUUGCCAGCACGUAAUGGUGGGAAACUCAAAGGAGACUGCCGGUGAUAAACCGGAGGAAGGUGGGGAUGACGUCAAGUCAUCAUGGCCCUUACGAGUAGGGCUACACACGUGCUACAAUGGCGUAUACAAAGAGAAGCGACCUCGCGAGAGCAAGCGGACCUCAUAAAGUGCGUCGUAGUCCGGAUUGGAGUCUGCAACUCGACUCCAUGAAGUCGGAAUCGCUAGUAAUCGUAAAUCAGAAUGUUACGGUGAAUACGUUCCCGGGCCUUGUACACACCGCCCGUCACACCAUGGGAGUGGGUUGCAAAAGAAGUAGAUAGCUUAACCUUCGGGAGGGCGUUUACCACUUUGUGAUUCAUGACUGGGGUGAAGUCGUAACAAGGUAGGCGUAGUGCU
rnacentral:rRNA from 1 species